GGUUGAACAACUGCAGAUUGGCAAUGAUUGUUUUGGAUAUGCUGUUGGUCUUCAGUUCAGGAAGCAAUCAGAGUCUUAAUCUAAAAGCUGAUGGAGAGGCACUCCUGUGGCAAUGUGGUACAUCCUCCAGCCAGAAGAAUGAUGUCAACUUCUGGACAAGGCUCAGGUUUGGCUGAAGAGCCCUAGUCAGCCUGAUGCUAAGAGGAGGUGAAGUGGCAUCCUGGUGGUUCCCUACUACUCAUUUUACAGCUCGUCAUCUAAUGCCUGGCCCAGGCUAUAGUAUAAAUGGACCUAUUUUGAGGCUGAUUUACUCCUCCCAAGGAUUACAAAAGGUAGUCCCAGAUUUUUUGUGGUAUGGCAUGUGUACAGUCUGGUAUUCAGCCUUCUAAUCUACUCACAGUCCAGACAGUCCAGUUGUGGCUGUUCCUGUUUGAAAUCCUGGGUGUUAAAUACACUGAUGUUGAUGUUGAUGUUAUAAAGGGCUUAUGUGCUACAUUUUUCUUGCAUAUUUAACUUUUCUUUGAUGUUUUCUUAUGAUGUUAUCAUGCCAUAAUUUAUUUUUACUUGGCCAUUUUCCAACCUUUUAUAUGCAUUAGAAUGAAACAGGCUGUUUUUGUUACUGUACCUUUAAAACGGAUAUAUAACACUCCUUUUAACUUGAUCAUAGAUGGAUGGGGCUAAACUAGUGUAGGCUUAAUAUGCAGAUGGUUUGUCAUAAAAACAAUGAAUUCAAUGGACUGGUUUUUUAGACAUUUCAUGUAGAUAUAGCUAGAGAAAGCAAAUGUAGAUAGCAUGUACUGUGAAAGCAGCAUAUAUAAAAUCAUAAGAAUGCAUGGUAAAAACAUUUACAGUAACUAUCUCUGCAAAUAUAUGCAGUAAUACUGAACAAAUAUGAAUAGUGCAGUGAUAUUAGGACAUAAAGUACAGUAACAGUGCAGAUGCUAUUAAAGUGAUGGUGUGGAGUCACAGCCUUAGGGAAGACAUUGUACCUGAGCCUGCUAGUUUGGCAGUAGAGGCUCCUGUAAUGCCUACCAAAUGGGAGGAGGAUAAAAAGUCCCUGAUUAGGAUAAGAAACGUACUUGAUGAUGUUCUUUGCCCUGCCCGGGCAGCGCAUAUGGUAAAUGUUCUCAGUGGUCGGUAAUUGAGUACCUGUAAUUCUUGGGUAGUUAUCACCACCGCUGAAGCUUUUUGCGAGUUAUAUACAAGUUCUCCGUAUUUCCAACAUCAGGCGUAAGCUCUCACCUACCGCACCACUGAUGACAUGGAAAACGACAGGCAGAUUUGCAAACUUUGAUAUGAGAACAGAUAUCUAGUGUUACGGUGCAUGUCUUGACGCACUACGAAUCAUAUUUAGGCAUUUUGAAAUGUUUGUUAUUCUGCCUCACCUCUGCGUACUCUGCGCUUGCCACUCUUUUUCACCUUGAAAUUCACUUGAGCAGUCACAAAGGCAAUCUGAGGAGACUUUACUAGAAUGAGUAUGAUCUAUGAAUACUUUUCAUUAACUGUUGGAGAUCUAGGCCAUUUUAUUACCUUUUCAGCCUAAUUAGAGUCUGACAAAUCGGAUUUACACAAAAAAAAAAUGGAAUUGGAAGUUAAUUAUUACAAUGGUAAUUAGUUUCAUGAUUAAGGAGUUAAUAAAAGAAACACAUUUUAGCUUUCUUAGAUUGACAGAGAUGAGGUUUGUGAUCUACUUGUAGAUUCCGUGCAAUGCAACAUGUGUGUCUUUUUGAAGUUUUUUCGCUACAAAUCCACAUACUGUGUUCAUUUGUCCUUCCACUCAAUUAAGGCUGAGUUAUCUCUCCAAGUGAAAAUGCAAGAUAAUGUAUUAAUUAGCAUCAUUAACACAAGCAAUUACUGGAGUGAAAACACUUGCUUUUGUAAUGAGGAAAAGGCUCGCAGUGUUCAGAUAGUGUUUGAACAUGUGGUGUUAAAAAGAGAGAAGGUUGAUAGAGAUGUAACGGGAGGAAUGCUAAAGCUGCAAGCAAGCAGCAAGCAGCUCUCACGUUCACUGAGAUUGUCAAAGUAUUUCAGGUAGGAUAUGUGUGUAGCAAAUCAUUAACCUUGGUUAGAAAUUCCAAACAUGACCAAUGAUGCCAUCAUUGCUUAGCAGAGGAGAGCUUUAAAUAAGGUGGUGAAAUGCAGAAGGACGCUCUAUACUUGUUGAAUUUUUUGUUAAUACUAUACCGUAAUACUGGGUUCUCCUCUCAACAGUGAGAUUUUCAGUGUCCACAGCUCCCAAAACAAUCCACCGGCACAGUAGCAGCAAAAGCUGGGCACACUGAACUUUCGCCGCCAAUAAAAACAAUGGAACAUCCAGUUUGCCAUUGACCAUCUACUGCCAUAAUGUAAACGCAGCAUCAGAAUCAACAUGAAACAAACUGUUCAUUUCAAGUUCUGAUACUGUUUGCUGAAUUUCAUGGACUGGGGAAAAGUAAA